GCUGCGGACGCACAAGCAUUUUAGGAAAGGGAAAAAACAGAGCAAAAAGCGGGUUGACAAGGCAGUGGGUCUCCGCUUGCAGUAAACGGCAGCGGAGCCCAGGGCCAGGGAGCCCACGUUGGGUUUGGAAUAAAGGGCUGACUUCUGGCUGCGCUCCGCCAUCUGCUGGGACCACAGAGGAGCUGAGCCGCUCUGAGGGGAUGCGCCGGUAGCGAACCCCGCGCGCCUGCCAGACGGGCAGACGCACAGUCCGUGUUACUAACCCUGUUAAUUAACAUCGGGUGAGCAGAGAAUGGUUUUGAUGAAGGCAAAUGAGGAGGGAGGCUCGUCGUCGUCGUCUCCACCAGCGAGAUUUUAAAAAACCCUGGAACCUGAAGAGGUUGUCCCAGUGGUGGAUCCUAAUGGGACCCCCCAAAAUGGAAUGGAAAGGCUGGAAUAUCGUAGGAGGUGCUUAUCGGGACUGUGGCACGGAAUUCCUAAGCAAAGGAGGUUGGGUAAGGUGUAGAACUCCAGCAAAAGGUCCAUGAGCACCCACCUGAGUUUCUUGAAAGGAUUGUUUGAGCUUAUAGUACUUUGACAUCAACCCAGAUAGUCUGGAAAGUAGAUGAUUAACAUGACAUUCAUGUGUCAGAGCACUCGGAUAUAAGGAGGGAAUCAAUCAAGACCGAAGGUGCCUUAAAGAUGAGUUCUUCCCAGCUUUAGAGUUUACAGUGGCGGAGAGUCAAGGAGACUUAAAUCUGCAGAUAUUUUCAUAGAACACAGGACAGGGUUUAGGCAGCCCAGAGAAGGGAUUUGGAGAAGUAGAAGGGAACCCUUGGAAGAUGGUGUGUCAGUGGUCAUGAAAAUCUUUCCAGAAACCCUGUGGGUUUUGCCUUGUGCUGGUAAAUAUCAGUCUCAAUGCAUUAGACCUUGGUUGAUGCAACAGAGGACACACCCAGCCUGCAGAGCCCAUGUUUACCUACGGAAUUUCCUGGUCACCCCAGCUGACACUUGCCCCAGUUCUGAUAGAGGGGGUGACUAUACAAAAGAAGUUCAGUUUUCAGACUCCAGAAUUUGCUUUUGCCUUUUGCUAUGAGCCGAGGUGUGAGGCUGUCUGCUCUCAGUAUUGUGCAAAAGAUGCUACCUAAUCUCAUCCAAGCUGCAGCCCAAGAGGACAAGACAAAUGUUCAGCAUAGGGUUCAAAGAAAAUGGAAUUUUAAAAGUUAUAUUUGAAUGUCACUUUCUGUUGCCCAGAUGAACCCUGGAAACCCUGCGAUAAUCUAGGGUUAUGGUCCUCGACCGAAACUUUUUUCCUUUUUCCAAAGUCUGAGGUGUGUAGGAUGACUGCUGGAACCAUGUGACCUGAUUCUCCAGCUUUAAGUAUAAUUUUUUCUCUUCUAUCUGGGUUAUUGAGGUUGAGUACGUGAAGUCUUGUAAUGUCAGAUAAUGUGGGAGUUGGGAGAUUUAAAUUUUGUUUUGAAAGUUAAAGUCUCCAGUUAUAGAGUCAAAAUAAAAGGUUAUGGCUUAGCUGUCAGCACUGUGGUGAGUGUAGACAGUUUUCAUUACAAUUUAAAUGGACUUUCCCCCCCCUAAUACUAAUGCAAAACUCACCGAAAACCUAAAUUAGGGAAAUGGGUGGUCGACCUUCCUUGGAUUGAUCACAGGAAAUUUUAUGGAAUUUCAGUUAAGCUCCUGAGACACUAACCACAGAACUUAGGGGUAGGAAAACUUAAGCAGCGUCCUGUAAGCCUGAUCUGCUUGCCCUCGCUUAUCUUCUGCGAUCUUCCCAUGAGGCUCACUUGCUGUAAACUUGAUGUAGCGAUGGAAUGCUUCAAACAUAUGUAGGAUGCUGGUCUCUGUAUAUUCACGAUAACACAAGAAAUACUCAACUAGAACUCACUGUGUUGGAGGGUGAAGUAUGCCUGGCCUCCAAACUGACCACAAGACAGUGAGUCAAGAUUUCUUCAGUAAGUAAAGAAUCAUAGUAAAUGAUUGCUAAGGAACAUUUCCAUAAAUCUUUAACAGUAUUACAGCUUGUUCCAUUACAAUUUUAUCUUUGCACACAAUGUAACCUGAACUGUCUUUCCAUGGAUGGUUUUGAGGUACAUUAUAGCUGUGGACAAUGCUCACACUUCAGUUUUCCUUUGUUCAGAUUCUAAAUUCCCAUCUGUCAUUGUUGGAAUUUUCCCUUUGGUUACUUGACAUGUGACUGUGUGAUUUCUUCAUAUCGAAGAAACUGCUAUUUUGAAAGAAUCUCAUUCAUUUUAUUCCUGCUCAUAUUAUGGCAAGAUUCUAUUUCUGUAACUUUCAUCAAAUUCUGGGAAGGAACCCCAUUCAAGGCUUAAGCUGAAUUUCCAGAUUAUAGUCAAAAAAAGGCACUCACAGAUUGGAGGAGUUAGCACAGGUCAGGCUCUCAGUAUCUGUUGAGAUUUCUUGAUUUGGAAUCUCAGUAUCUGUGGACAAAAAAGACAACAGACUCAGAAUUUUAAAUACGACUGUCAAUGUUCGGUCACUGGGAAAA